GAUGAACGCUGGCGGCGUGCCUAAUACAUGCAAGUCGAGCGAACAGACGAGGAGCUUGCUCCUCUGACGUUAGCGGCGGACGGGUGAGUAACACGUGGAUAACCUACCUAUAAGACUGGGAUAACUUCGGGAAACCGGAGCUAAUACCGGAUAAUAUAUUGAACCGCAUGGUUCAAUAGUGAAAGACGGUUUUGCUGUCACUUAUAGAUGGAUCCGCGCCGCAUUAGCUAGUUGGUAAGGUAACGGCUUACCAAGGCAACGAUGCGUAGCCGACCUGAGAGGGUGAUCGGCCACACUGGAACUGAGACACGGUCCAGACUCCUACGGGAGGCAGCAGUAGGGAAUCUUCCGCAAUGGGCGAAAGCUUGACGGAGCAACGCCGCGUGAGUGAUGAAGGUCUUCGGAUCGUAAAACUCUGUUAUUAGGGAAGAACAAAUGUGUAAGUAACUAUGCACGUCUUGACGGUACCUAAUCAGAAAGCCACGGCUAACUAUGUG
rnacentral:rRNA from 1 species